rnacentral:rRNA from 1 species
CAGCAGCCGCGGGAAUACGGAGGGUGCAAGCGUUAAUCGGAAUUACUGGGCGUAAAGCGCACGCAGGCGGUCUGUCAAGUCGGAUGUGAAAUCCCCGGGCUCAACCUGGGAACUGCAUUCAAAACUGGCAGGCUAGAGUCUUGUAGAGGGGGGUAGAAUUCCAGGUGUAGCGGUGAAAUGCGUAGAGAUCUGGAGGAAUACCGGUGGCGAAGGCGGCCAUCUGGCCUAAUACUGACGCUGAGGUACGAAAGCAUGGGGAGCAAACAGGAUUAGAUACCCCAGUAGUCCCUGUCUCUUAUAC